rnacentral:lncRNA from 1 species
GACCAGAAUGGGGACCAACACGACUACCUGUGUGGCUCAGGAACAAGGGCCCCAUGGGUGGUGGAUGCUGCAGCUGAGACGACAUCUCUCAGAAGGCAAGCAAUAUUACUGAGGAUGAUUUCAGACACAUGUAACAGAAAGUUCCAUUCAACUGGGUUUAAAUAAUUUGGAAAUUUAUUGGUUCACUGGGUCACUGAGGACGAGGCUGGGCUUCCACCCAAUUUAAUCCAGGGACUCUGGUGGAUUUUCCCUUGAUUUUCUUAGCACUGCUUUUCCAGCUCUGCUCGUCUCUGGUGUCAGCUUCAAGAACUGAGGCAAUAGCUGCUCUGGGCCCAUGACCUGGGCCCUCCAGAAUCCAGAAGAAAAGAUACCGUCAUUUCUUACACUUCCUUCCAAGACAAGGAAACAUUUUUAUUUGAUUUAUUUAUUUUUGUGCGGUGCUGAGAUCAAACCCAGUGCCUCAUGCAUGCUAGGCAAGGGCUCUACCACUGAGCCACAACCCCAGCAGCAAAAAAAAAAAAAAAAAAAGUUGUUACAAGGAGAAAGUCUCAUUUGCCCGCUCUGAGCCAUGUGCUUAUUCUAGAAACAGUCCCCAUCCUUGGGAGAAUACCAUGUUUGACUUAUACAAAUCAGGGCUCUUUCUUGACUAGAGUCAGUUCUCCCAACUGCAUGGCUACUACAAAAUAAGAAGAGAUGGAAUGGUGUUGAAAAGAUGAUAACAGCUCUUCCACUUUAGCUGUCCAAUAGUCACACACAUCCUCCAUGCCAUGUUACAUACAACUUUAGAAAUGCCUGUGCCUAAGCCAGGCAUGGUGGUACACACCUAUAAUUCCUGGGAGGCUGAAGUAGGAGGAUUGUGAGUCUGAGGCCAGCCUCAGCAACUCAGUGAGACCCUGUCUCAAAAUAAAAAAAAUGAAAUAUGGGCUGGGAUGUAGUUCAGUAGCAGAGCACCCCUGGGUUCAAUACCCAGGACUGCCAAAAAAAAAAAAAAAAGUCAAUGCCUAAUACGAUGUACUCAUUUCCUUCUAAAAAUGUAGUACCUAAACACCCCAUUUUAUAUGCAAGUUCAGGACCUCUGGGAGAGGUACAAGCCUUGACACUAAGUCAAUUAUUUACUUGCACCUGGGUUUAAAAGAAACCAGGGGUAGGAGAGGUGAGGUGGUUGUUCCCUGCUCUACGAGCUGGGUAAGUUCUAAGCCUCAAUUUCUUCUUGAAUUUUUUAUUAAUUAAUUAAUUUUAAUUAGGUAUAUAUGACAGCAGAAUGCAUUUUGAUUCGUUGUACACAAUUGCAGCAUAACAUUUCAUUUCUCUGGUUUUACAUGAUGUAGCAUCACACCAUAUGGGCAGUCAUACAUGUACCUAGGGUUAAUGAUGUCCAUCUCAUUCCACCAUCUUUCCUGCCCCCAAGCCCUCUCCUCUUGUAUUUAAUGAGAACUGUAAU